GGCAGAGAGGUCACACCCGUUCCCAUACCGAACACGGAAGUUAAGCUCUCUAGCGCCGAUGGUAGUUGGGACCUUGUCCCUGUGAGAGUAGGACGUCGCCAAGC
rnacentral:rRNA from 3 species